UCGAGAAUCAUUCGCAAUGGGCGAAAGCCUGACGAUGCGACGCCGUGUGAACGAUGAAGGCCUUCGGGUCGUAAAGUUCUUUCGCCUGGGAACAAGAGAGAGGAGAUAAUACCUCCUCAAUUUGAGGGUACUAGGUAAAGAAGCACCGGCUAACUCCGUGCCAGCAGCUGCGGUAAUACGGAGGGUGCAAGCAUUAAUCGGAUUUAUUGGGCGUAAAGGGCGCGUAGGCGGGCCUGACAGUCAGAUGUGAAAUCCUAGGGCUCAACCCUAGAACAGCAUUUGAAACUACAGGCCUAGAGGGUAGACGGAGAAAACGGAAUUCCACAAGUAGCGGUGAAAUGCGUAGAUAUGUGGAAGAACACCGGUGGCGAAGGCGGUUUUCUAGUUUAUACCUGACGCUGAGGCGCGAAAGCAAGGGGAUCAAACAGGAUUAGAUACCCGCGUAGUCC
rnacentral:rRNA from 1 species